GGCUGGUCUGAAGAUAGUGAAUUAUCUUAAUUGAUUGUUCACAGUUCAUUUCAUACUCUUUGUUCCGCUCUUUCCCUCCUUCUCACUGCCGAAGUUGACUAAUUUUUU
rnacentral:Y_RNA from 1 species